rnacentral:rRNA from 1 species
UACGAAGGGGGCUAGCGUUGCUCGGAAUCACUGGGCGUAAAGCGCGCGUAGGCGGAUUGUUAAGUCGGGGGUGAAAUCCUGGAGCUCAACUCCAGAACUGCCUUCGAUACUGGCGAUCUUGAGUCCGGGAGAGGUGAGUGGAACUCCGAGUGUAGAGGUGAAAUUCGUAGAUAUUCGGAAGAACACCAGUGGCGAAGGCGGCUCACUGGCCCGGUACUGACGCUGAGGUGCGAAAGCGUGGGGAGCAAACAGG